rnacentral:lncRNA from 1 species
AUUCUACUUCUAUUGCACAAACAUAAUUCACACACUUUAGGAGGACUUAGGGUUGUAACGGGGCUUAGGACAGGUGGGAUAAACAACAAACGGAUACACAAGGGUUUUUGGGCUCGGCACUCAUGCUAUUUUUCUUAUACCUGUGCUUAUUUUGAUAUAAAGGGGUUCGACAUCGACUAUUUAACUUUACUCAACAGAUUGAGUAUUGCAAAUGUACUCAAGUCGUUUAGUUGGGAC